GACGAACGCUGGCGGCGUGCUUAACACAUGCAAGUCGAACGGAAAGGCCCUGCUUUUGUGGGGUGCUCGAGUGGCGAACGGGUGAGUAACACGUGAGUAACCUGCCCUUGACUUUGGGAUAACUUCAGGAAACUGGGGCUAAUACCGGAUAGGAGCUCCUGCUGCAUGGUGGGGGUUGGAAAGUUUCGGCGGUUGGGGAUGGACGCGCGGCUUAUCAGCUUGUUGGUGGGGUAGGGGCUUACCAAGGCUUUGACGGGUAGCCGGCCUGAGAGGGUGACCGGCCACAUUGGGACUGAGAGACGGCCCAGACCCCUACGGGAGGCAGCAGUGGGGAAUAUUGCACAAUGGGCGGAAGCCUGAUGCAGCAACGCCGCGUGCGGGAUGACGGCCUUCGGGUUGUAAACCGCUUUCGCCUGUGACGAAGCGUGAGUGACGGUAAUGGGUAAAGAAGCACCGGCUAACUACGUG
rnacentral:rRNA from 1 species